GCAGAACAAUAUAAUCUCUAAAACCAGGACAGUAAAUAAACAGGGGAAUUCCACACAGGAAACAAUCAGGGCCAGCUAACACCUCCCAACAAAGUAUUCCCAUCAUCAAAGUCUGGCAAAUCCUGUUUUCUCAGGGCCACAGACAGUAGAAGCACAUAAAAUAUCGCAAACAACAUCACUCUGAAAACAAGGGUAUUCCAGACAGGAAACAAUCAGGGCCAGCUAACACCUCCCAACAAAGUAUUCCCAUCAUCAAAGUCUGGCAAAUCCUCUGUUUUCUCAGGGCCACAGACAGUAGAAGCACAUAAAAUAUCGCAAACAACACCACUCUGAAAACAAGGGAAUUCCAGACAGGAAACAAUCAGGGCCAGCUAACACCUCCCAACAAAAAAUUCACUCAGGGUGGAAACAGCCAGGCUUUAAAGCUGCAAGGCCAUUACUUCCUAAUCAUUUUUCCUAAUUGCAGCAUUCAUACUUGCCUCCAACAAACAAAAAAAACCAAUCAGAAAUAUUGUAUAUUCACAACCUUUAGGAAAUAAUAUCCCCUGAUGGCGCAGCGUGUUAACGCGCUGAGCUGCUGAACUUCUGGACCGAAAGGCCACAGGUUUGAAUUGGGGGAGCGGAGAGAGCCCCCACUGUUAGCCCCAGCUUCUGCCAACCCAGAAGUUCGAAAACAUGCAAAUGUGAGUGCAUCAAUAGGUACUGCUCCGGCGGGAAGGUAACGCCGCUCCAUGUAGUCAUCCCACAUGACCUUGGAGGAGUCUACAGACAACGCCGGCUCUUCGGCUUAGAAAUGGAGAUGGGCACCAACCCCCAGAGUCAGACAUGACUGGACUUAAUGUCAGGGGAAAACCUUUACCCUUUAUCUUAACUACCAACAAUUCCUCAAUACUUUAUUUCCCAGACCACCAGACUUCGCCACAGCAACGCGUGGCCGGGCACAGCUAGUUCUAUUAUAAAACGGAGGCUGCGGGCCAGGCUAAGUCAGGCAUGGGCGAACUUUGGCCCUCCAGGUGUUUUGGACUUCAACUCCCACAAUUAUAGAAUCAUCAUUUGGAAGAGAUUUCGUGAGUCCAACCCCAUUCGGCCAAGAAGCAGGAAAAGCACAUUCAAAGGACCUCCAACAGAUGGCCAUCCAAAGAAGGAGCUGCAACCACAUCCAGGGCAGAGAGUUCCACUGCUGAACAACUCUCACAGCGAGGAAGUUCUUCCUAAUGUUCAGGUGGAAUCUCCUUUUCUGUAGAAUGAAGACGUUCUGCGUCGUAGUCUCCAGGGCAGCAGAAAACAAGCUUGUUCCCUCCUAUGACUUCCCUUCACAUCUUGAUCCAUGGUCCUCAUCAUGCCUCCUCUCAGCCUUCUCUUCUCCAGCUAAACAUGCCCAGCUCUUUAAGCCGCUCCUCAUAAGGCUUGUUCUUGACCCUUGAUCAUUUUAUUCACCCUCUUCCGGACACAUCCCAGCUUGCCAACAUCUCCCUUCAAUUGUGGUGCCCAGAAUUGGACCCAGUGUGAUUCCAGGUGUGGUCUGACCAAGGCAGAAUAGAGGAAUAGCAUGUCUUCCCUGGAUCAAGACACUAGACUCUUAUUUACGCAGGCCACAAUCCCAUUGGCUUUUUUUGCCCCUGCAUCAUAUUGUUGGCUCAUGUUUAACUUGUUCUCCACGAGGACUCCAAGAUCUUUUUAACACGUGGUGCCCCCCAUUCUGUAUCUUUUCAUUUAAUUUUUUUCUGCCUAAGUGGAGUAUCUUGCAUCUGUCCCUGUUGAAGUUCAUUCUGUUAGUUUCGUCCCAUCAAAAUGAAGUUCAACAGGAGCCUCUAGUUGGACGAGGCUGGUGGAGGCUCCAAAUAACCAAACCGAAUCUAAAGUUGACCAAAAACUGAUUCGUAACCCUUUUGAUACAAUUCCUAAAAGCGGUAGCUGUUACAGUAGCAAUAGUGGCCAGCUACUGGUCAAAGGACAUUUAGUACAGUGGUUCCCAACCUGUGGUCCAUGGACCACCAGUGGUCCCUAAGAACUAAAAUAUGGGCCGCGGCCUCACUGUUACUACAGAGCGACUGGUCUCACGAAAUCCUCUUAUAGUGUCAAGGCAACGGGGAUGUCAGGAGCGGAGAGGCUGACUACCCACUAAAGGUGCGACAACAAGCCUCCUGACUGCUGCUUCUCCUCCUUCUCCCUCCCCAAGUGAAUAAUAAUAAUAGUAAUAAUGUGUGUAUAUGUGUGUAUGUGUCAUCCCUAAUAAUCUUGGAAGCUAAACAAGUGUUAGCUCAGGUUAGGACUUGGAUGUCAGGAGGGGAGAGGCUGACUACUCACUAAAGGUGUGACAACAAACCUCCUGACUGCUGCUUCUCCUCCUUCUCCCUCCCCGAGUGAAUAAUAAUAAUAGUAAUAAUGUGUGUGUAUGUGUCAUCCCUAAUAAUCUUGGAAGCUACCAGGUUAGGACUUGGAUGUCAAGAGGGGAGAGGUUGACUACCCACUAAAGGUGCGACAACAAGCCUCCUGACUGCUGCUUCUCCUCCUUCUCCCUCCCCGAGUGAAUAAUAGUAAUAGUAAUAAUGUGUGUAUAUGUGUGUGUGUCAUCCCUAAUAAUCUUGUAAGCUAAACAAGUGUUAGCCUAGGUUGGGACUUGGAUGUCAGGAGGGGAGAGGCUGACUACUCACUAAAGGUGUGACAACAAGCCUCCUGACUGCUGCUUCUCCUCCUUCUCCCUCCCUGAGUGAAUAAUAAUAAUAGUAAUAAUGUGUGUAUAUGUGUGUAUGUGUCAUCCCUAAUAAUCUUGGAAGCUACCAGGUUAGGACUUGGAUGUCAAGAGGGGAGAGGUUGACUACCCACUAAAGGUGCGACAAGCCUCCUGACUGCUGCUUCUCCUCCUUCUCCCUCCCCGAGUGAAUAAUAAUAGUUUUUUUUCGUAUCAGGAGCCACCGGAGUUGCUUCUGGAGUGAGAGAAUUGGCCAUCUGCAACGAUGUUGCCCAGGGGAUGCCCGGAUGUUUUGAUGUUUUACCAUCCUUAUGGGAGGCUUCUCUCAUGUCCCUGCAAUGGAGCUGGAGCUGAAAGAGGGAGCUUAUCCGCACUCUCCCUGGGUGGGAUUCGAACCUGGCAGUUUUCAGGUCAGCAACCCAACCUUCAAGUCACGAGGCUUUUAUCCCCUAGGCCACCGGAGGCUCCAAUAAUAAUAGUAAUAAUGUGUGUAUAUGUGUGUGUGUGUCAUCCCUAAUAAUUUUUUUUGGAAGCUGAACAAGGGUUGGCCGAGGUUAGGACUUGGAUGGGAGACCCCCAAGGAAAAUUCAGGAGAACCGAGUCCCCUUAGGGAGAUGGGGCGGGAUAUAAGAAUAAAUAUAUUAUUAUUAUUAUUAUUAACCAUUUCUGAGAAUGCCUCACCUAAGGAAGCUAUGGGUUCUCCAUAGCGAUUGUGUUCAAAUCCCCACUGGGCUCUUUAGGGCAAGUCACAUUCUCUCAGCCUCGGGGAGGGGGACCCAAUCCCAGCCCUCAAAAGAACAGAGCCGACACAUUUCCCGUCAUCAAGUUUUAUGUUCAUUUCUAUCGGAUACAAAGGUACAUACAACGGAUCUGAUGAUUAUAGGCUAUUGAUACCACAGCGUCUGAAGAAAAGCCAAGAAGGAAGGAAGGAAGGAAGGAAGCAAAAAAGGCCUGGCCACAAGGCGGAGAAAAUACAUUCACUUGCCAUGGGACCGUCUUGCCAGGAACUGGAAGGGGGCCCUUUAAAGCGGGAAGGAAGCGGGCUCCAAAAGUAAUAAUCUGAGGGCCCACCGCUUGAGACUCGGCAUUGAAAGCUGUGGCCUAAAUCCCAAAGCCUUCUUUUAAAGGCGGUGGGAUUGGGAUCCUAAAACCUCCCAAAUGCUGCCGAACUGUGCCACUCAUCAGCCCAGGCGAGGCUGAGGGAUGCUGGGAGUUGCAGACCAACAUUAUUUAUUGAAUUCUCACUCCAUGCGUCCCUUUAAUGCCGUAGGAAGCUCCCAAAACCUUCCUUACUCACUGGGCUGGAAAGCAAAGCGGAAGAAGGAUAAAACCAGCCAGGCAAAGGGUUCGAGGCUUUAAAAACGACCCCAAAAAGGUAGCUUUGGAAAGGAAAAACAAACAGCUGUGAGGCUUGCAAUCGGUUGCAAGACUGAAUUGCAAUCCUCAACCAGGAUUGAGAAAAGUCCCAAACUAAAAAGUAGCAUCAAUGCAGUUUCGAUGCUGCUUUCGUUCCUAAAGUUUCAAACUGCAUUCAUCGCCAACGCUGUGGGAUCCUGGGAGCCUUUUCUGUGUCAAACUCCUAGGAUUCCAUAGCAUUGAGAUAAGGCAAUUACAGGUAGCAUCAAACCGCAUUAAUUCCAUCAUGUAACGAUGCACGAAUGAGGAUUUUUGGACUCCAACAAGCCACUUAACGGCUAAGGAAACAGAACCCAUAUCCUUCCCAUAAAGCCCUCCUUUUCCUUGGGCUUUGAGAGCUUAAGAUUUCAUCUCUCCGAACCUAGGAGAGAUUUAGGACCGAGCUCCCAAAGAGGGGAGGCUAAUACAUCCCCCUUGGUAUGUGCAAAAAAGGAAGGGGGAAAAAAACCUUUGGAUCAAGUUCCUUUUAAUACAUACACAUCAUUGUGCGUGUGUCUGCAUAUAAAGCAUCGAGGCAACGGGUGAAAAGUCGUAAGGCUAUGUUUCGAGAAAGAUCCCGGAAGUCGCAAACAAAGUCCUGGAAGAGGGGGACGUGGCCCCAAAAAAGACAGCACACUUCAACCUUACCGUCUCUUCUUUCUCAUAUCUGUCUUAUUCUCCAGAAGACAAACCCUGCUUUUUUUAUGUGGAGGGGGGGGGGGGGAAA